GCUUCCUUCGGCAGCACAUACUAAAAUUGGAGCAAUACAGAGAAGAUUAGUGUGGCCCCUGUGCUAGGGUGACAUGCGAAUUCGUGAAGCCUUCCACAUUUUU